rnacentral:rRNA from 1 species
UACAGAGGGGGCAAGCGUUGUUCGGAAUUACUGGGCGUAAAGGGCGCGUAGGCGGCCUGUUAAGUCGAACGUGAAAUCCCCGGGCUCAACCCGGGAACUGCGUCCGAUACUGGCAGGCUUGAAUUCGGGAGAGGGAUGUGGAAUUCCAGGUGUAGCGGUGAAAUGCGUAGAUAUCUGGAGGAACACCGGUGGCGAAGGCGGCAUCCUGGACCGAUAUUGACGCUGAUGCGCGAAAGCCAGGGGGGCAAACGGG